rnacentral:rRNA from 1 species
AGUGAACGCUGGCGGUAGGCCUAACACAUGCCAGUCGAACGGCAGCACAGUAAGAGCUUGCUCUUACGGGUGGCGAGUGGCGGACGGGUGAGGAAUACAUCGGAAUCUACUUUUUCGUGGGGGAUAACGUAGGGAAACUUACGCUAAUACCGCAUACGACCUACGGGUGAAAGCAGGGGAUCUUCGGACCUUGCGCGAUUGAAUGAGCCGAUGUCGGACUAGCUAAUUGGCGGGGUAAAGGCCCACCAAGGCGACGAUCCGUAGCUGGUCUGAGAGGAUGAUCAGCCACACUGGAACUGAGACACGGUCCAGACUCCUACGGGAGGCAGCAGUGGGGAAUAUUGGACAAUGGGCGCAAGCCUGAUCCAGCCAUACCGCGUGGGUGAAGAAGGCCUUCGGGUUGUAAAGCCCUUUUGUUGGGAAGAAAAGCAGCAGGUUAAUACCCCGCUGUUCUGACGGUACCCAAAGAAUAAGCACCGGCUAACUUCGUG